rnacentral:rRNA from 1 species
AACGAACGCUGGCGGCAUGCCUAACACAUGCAAGUCGAACGAGAUCUUCGGGUCUAGUGGCGCACGGGUGCGUAACGCGUGGGAAUCUGCCCUUGGGUUCGGAAUAACAGUUGGAAACGACUGCUAAUACCGGCUGAUGACAAAAGUCCAAAGAUUUAUCGCCAGAGGAUGAGCCCGCGUAGGAUUAGCUAGUUGGUGUGGUAAAGGCGCACCAAGGCGACGAUCCUUAGCUGGUCUGAGAGGAUGAUCAGCCACACUGGGACUGAGACACGGCCCAGACUCCUACGGGAGGCAGCAGUGGGGAAUAUUGGACAAUGGGCGAAAGCCUGAUCCAGCAAUGCCGCGUGGGUGAUGAAGGCCUUAGGGUUGUAAAGCUCUUUUACCCGGGAUGGUAAUGACAGUACCGGGAGAAUAAGCUCCGGCUAACUCCGUGCCAGCAGCCGCCGCAG